UGGGGAAUCUUGCACAAUGGAGGAAACUCUGAUGCAGCGACGCCGCGUGAGCGAAGAAGCCUUUCGGGGUGUAAAGCUCUUACGCCAGGGACGAUAAUGACGGUACCUGGAGAAGCAGCUGCGGCUAACUACGUGCCAGCAGCCGCGGUAAUACGUAGGCAGCAAGCGUUGUUCGGAGUUACUGGGCGUAAAGAGUGCGUAGGCGGUUUUCUAAGUUCGGUGUGAAAUCUCCCGGCUUAACUGGGAGGGUGCGCCGAAGACUGGGAAGCUGGAGUGUGGGAAAGGCAGGCGGAAUUCCUGGUGUAGCGGUGAAAUGCGUAGAUAUCAGGAGGAACACCGGCGGUGUAGACGGCUUGCUAGACCAUAACUGACGCUGAGGCACGAAAGCGUGGGUAGCAAACA
rnacentral:rRNA from 1 species